rnacentral:rRNA from 1 species
CCCUUAGAUGUUCUGUGCCGCACGCGCGCUACACUGACGAUGGCAACGAGUUUUUCCUUCGCCGAAAGGUGUGGGUAAUCUUUUGAAACAUCGUCGUGCUGGGGAUAGAUCAUUGCAAUUUUUGAUCUUGAACGAGGAAUUCCUAGUAAGCGCGAGUCAUCAGCUCGCGUUGAUUACGUCCCUGCCCUUUGUACACACCGCCCGUCGCUACUACCGAUUGAAUGGUUUAGUGAGGACUCCUGAUUGGCGCCGCCGCCCCGGCAACGGAGCAGCGGACUGCCGAAAAGUUGUUCAAACUUGAUCAUUUAGAGGAAGUAAAAGUCGUAACA